UGUCAACAUAUGAGGAAAGGGAUUUAGGGGUGAUUAUUUCUGAUGACUUAAAGGUAGGCAGACAAUGUAAUAGAGCAGCAGGAAAUGCUAGCAGAAUGCUUGGUUGUAUAGGGAGAGGUAUUAGCAGUAGAAAGAGGGAAGUGCUCAUGCCAUUGUACAGAACACUGGUGAGACCUCACUUGGAGUAUUGUACACAGUACUGGAGACCGUAUCUUCAG